CCAUAGCCCCGAUAGAAGCGGCAUCCUUUUUUGUUUUUUUUGUGCUCACUAUAUUUGGAAUAACAAACUUUGUGAAAAAACAAAAAAGAUAUAGUGGAUAGCGGGAUUGAGC
rnacentral:sRNA from 1 species